rnacentral:rRNA from 1 species
UACGAAGGGGGCUAGCGUUGCUCGGAAUCACUGGGCGUAAAGGGUGCGUAGGCGGGUCUUUAAGCCAGGGGUGAAAUCCUGGAGCUCAACUCCAGAACUGCCUUUGAUACUGAAGAUCUUGAGUUCGGGAGAGGUGAGUGGAACUGCGAGUGUAGAGGUGAAAUUCGUAGAUAUUCGGAGGAACACCAGUGGCGAAGGCGGCUCACUGGCUCGAUACUGACGCUGAGGUGCGAAAGCGUGGGGAGCAAACAGG